AAGAGGGGGACAACAGUUGGAAACGACUGCUAAUACCGCAUGAAGCAUAGGGGUCGCAUGAUCUUUAUGCCAAAGAUUUAUCGCUUCAAGAUGGCCUCGCGUCUGAUUAGCUAGUUGGCGGUAACGGCCCACCAAGGCGACGAUCAGUAGCCGGACUGAGAGGUUGAACGGCCACAUUGGGACUGAGAUACGGCCCAGACUCCUACGGGAGGCAGCAGUGGGGAAUAUUGGGCAAUGGGCGCAAGCCUGACCCAGCAACGCCGCGUGAAGGAAGAAGGCUUUCGGGUUGUAAACUUCUUUUAAGAGGGAAGAGCAGAAGACGGUACCUCUAGAAUAAGCCACGGCUAACUACGUGCCAGCAGCCGCGGUAAUACGUAGGUGGCAAGCGUUGUCCGGAUUUACUGGGUGUAAAGGGCGUGCAGCCGGGUCUGCAAGUCAGAUGUGAAAUCCAUGGGCUCAACCCAUGAACUGCAUUUGAAACUGUAGAUCUUGAGUGUCGGAGGGGCAAUCGGAAUUCCUAGUGUAGCGGUGAAAUGCGUAGAUAUUAGGAGGAACACCAGUGGCGAAGGCGGAUUGCUGGACGAUAACUGACGGUGAGGCGCGAAAGUGUGGGGAGCAAACAGGAUUAGAUACCCUGGUAGUCCACACUGUAAACGAUGAAUACUAGGUGUGCGGGGACUGACCCCCUGUCGUGCCGCAGUAAACACAAUAAGUAUUCCACCUGGGGAGUA
rnacentral:rRNA from 1 species